rnacentral:rRNA from 1 species
GACGAACGCUGGCGGCGUGCCUAAUACAUGCAAGUCGAACGCACCCUCGUUUAGAUUGAAGGAGCUUGCUCCUGAUUGAUAAACAUUUGAGUGAGUGGCGGACGGGUGAGUAACACGUGGGUAACCUGCCCUAAAGUGGGGGAUAACAUUUGGAAACAGAUGCUAAUACCGCAUAAAACCUAACACCGCAUGGUGUAGGGUUGAAAGAUGGUUUCGGCUAUCACUUUAGGAUGGACCCGCGGUGCAUUAGUUAGUUGGUGAGGUAAAGGCUCACCAAGACCGUGAUGCAUAGCCGACCUGAGAGGGUAAUCGGCCACACUGGGACUGAGACACGGCCCAGACUCCUACGGGAGGCAGCAGUAGGGAAUCUUCCACAAUGGACGAAAGUCUGAUGGAGCAACGCCGCGUGAGUGAAGAAGGUUUUCGGAUCGUAAAACUCUGUUGUUGGAGAAGAAUGUAUCUGAUAGUAACUGAUCAGGUAGUGACGGUAUCCAACCAGAAAGCCACGG